AGUGUAGGCGUGUCUUACAUAAGUGUCAAGCCCGAGUGUUACCUGGGCAACAGUGUAGGCGUGUCUUACAUAAGCGUCAGGUCCAAGUGUUACCUGGGCAACGGUGUAGGCGUGUCUUACAUAAGCGUCAGGUCCGAGUGUUACCCGGGCAAUGGUGCAGGCGUGUCUUACAUAAGUGUCAAGCCCGAGUGUUACCUGGGCAACAGUGUAGGCGUGUCUUACAUAAGCGUCAGGUCCAAGUGUUACCUGGGCAACGGUGUAGGCGUGUCUUACAUAAGCGUCAGGUCCAAGUGUUACCUGGGCAAUGGUGUAGGCGUGUCUUACAUAAGUGUCAGGCCCGAAUGUUACCUGGGCAACAGUGUAGGCGUGUCUUACAUAAGCGUCAGGUCCGAGUGUUACC